rnacentral:rRNA from 2 species
CACUUACAGAUGGGCCCGCGGUGCAUUAGCUAGUUGGUGAGGUAACGGCUCACCAAGGCAACGAUGCAUAGCCGACCUGAGAGGGUGAUCGGCCACACUGGGACUGAGACACGGCCCAGACUCCUACGGGAGGCAGCAGUAGGGAAUCUUCCGCAAUGGACGAAAGUCUGACGGAGCAACGCCGCGUGAGUGAUGAAGGCUUUCGGGUCGUAAAACUCUGUUGUUAGGGAAGAACAAGUACAAGAGUAACUGCUUGUACCUUGACGGUACCUAACCAGAAAGCCACGGCUAACUACGUGCCAGCAGCCGCGGUAAUACGUAGGUGGCAAGCGUUAUCCGGAAUUAUUGGGCGUAAAGCGCGCGCAGGCGGUUUCUUAAGUCUGAUGUGAAAGCCCACGGCUCAACCGUGGAGGGUCAUUGGAAACUGGGGAACUUGAGUGC